AGCAGCCGCGGUAAUUCCAGCUCCAAUAGCGUAUAUUAAAGUUGCUGCAGUUAAAAAGCUCGUAGUUGAAUUUCGGGACCAAUAUGUCGGUCGUGCCUCGGUACGUACUGGCAUCGUUGGUUUCUCCCUUCUGACGAACCAUGAUGUCAUUUAUUUGGUGUCGUGGGGAAUCAGGACUGUUACUUUGAAAAAAUUAGAGUGUUUAAAGCAGGCUCACGCUUGAAUACAUUAGCAUGGAAUAAUGAAAUAGGACGUUUGAUUCUAUUUUGUUGGUUUCUAGGAUCGACGUAAUGAUUAAUAGGGAUAGUUGGGGGCAUUAGUAUUCAAUUGUCAGAGGUGAAAUUCUUGGAUUUAUUGAAGACUAACUACUGCGAAAGCAUUUGCCAAGGAUGUUUUCAUUAAUCAAGA
rnacentral:rRNA from 1 species